UACGUAGGGUGCGAGCGUUGUCCGGAAUUACUGGGCGUAAAGAGCUCGUAGGCGGUGUGUCACGUCGGCCGUGAAAACCUGCAGCUUAACUGUGGGCGUGCGGUCGAUACGGGGCAUCACUGGAGUUCGGCAGGGGGAGACUGGAAUUCCUGGUGUAGCGGUGAAAUGCGCAGAUAUCAGGAGGAACACCGGUGGCGAAAGGCGGGGUCUCUGGGGCCGAUACUGACGCUGAGGAGCGAAAAGCGUGGGGGAGCAAACAGG
rnacentral:rRNA from 1 species